GUUGCGUGUAACUCAAUGGGGUACGACUUACGAAUGAACAGAGUUACGACCAAUUGCUUGGUCCAUAACCAGUUCGUAAGUCAGGAAGAGGCUACAGUGCACAACUAAUUGUUAGGUUUUUUUACAUUGACUAGCAGGGAAGUAUGAUACAAAUUGGAGACUUAGUUUGACAUACAUAUGAAAUUGAGGGAAACAGUCUUUCAAUAUUGCAGUAACCUUACUGACUCUCCGUGUUUGAUGUUGCAGAACCACUCAUGAGUUCUUGUUUGGUGCCCUUGCUGAGCUUGUAGAUAAUGCCAGAGAUGCUGAUGCAACGAGAAUAGAUAUUUAUACUGAACGACGGGAGGACCUGCGCGGUGGAUUUAUGCUAUGUUUUUUGGAUGAUGCA